AUGUGUGUCACACUGGGGUAGGUUGUAACAAAAGUGUGUCAUAGCUGGCUAGAUUGUAAGAAAUGUGUGUCACACUGGGGUAGCUGGCUAGAUUGUAAGAAAUGUGUGUCACACUGGGGUAGGUUGUAACAAAAGUGUGUCACAGCUGGCUAGAUUGUAAGAAAUGUGUGUCACACUGGGGUAGAUUGUAAGAAAUGUGUGU